CUCCAGGUUGCUUAGGGAAGCCUCAGAGCUCAGGUGGCUGAGAAUGACAGUACACAUCAGGCGAUGGAGAUGUUUCUCUUUCUUCUGAUAAGCACUUAAAUGCUUACCAGGUUCCACUACCUGGGCAACAAAUGUCAUCCUUGCCUUUGGCUGUGGAUUGGUGCAUUUGAUCCUAUCAAUCCCUUGUUUUCAGCCUAAUCCAACUUCCCCAAAACAUGGGGAAAAGAAGAGGAGAAUAUCAGAAAGCUUUCAAAUUUGCAACUGCAAGACUGAUACACAUUUUGCAAGGAUCUGUCUGAUGUGUACAACAAACAUUGGAAUUAAGGCUUCUACAAUACUGGUAUGUGGUCAAGUCUAUGGCUGUGCAAUGCUGGACUUCCGCAAAGCAUCUCCAGCUUCCACUGUUACCCAACUUGUAAACCAGAAGAUGUGCUGAUGUAGGUGGAUAGCAGCUCCAAGACAAGUCUGAGAGCACUGAACACAUUAAGAAGUGAUUGCUGAGCCCGUUAGGGACAGGCACGUCUGCGGACACUGUAGCAGGGUCCCCGGCCGCGGAGAACACGCCGAUCCGGCCCGUUUUGGACAGGAAACAGAGAGACCAAGAGAAAGCAGCAGCUUCAGCAGCAGCCCUAAAAGAAAUAGACUGUAAUUCUGAUCCUCAAGACUGCAGGAAGAGCUCGACGACUAAACCCACCUGCCACCACUGCAAAAAGCCAGGCCAGCUUAAGAAGGUCUGUGACAAGAGGCCUCCUGGUCCAUGCCCCGAUUGCAAAGGUGACCACUGGAAGUUGAACUGCCCUCUGAGGCCCCAGAGCUCAGACCCAUCUUGCCAGGUGGUCCAGCAAGACUGAAGGGUCCCAGGGACUCUGCCUUCUCCCUCUGGCUAGACUGUCAUUUCCACAGAGGAGCCCUGGGUAAUCAUGACUAUAGAGAGAAAAUAAACCAGCCUAUUUCUGGACACUGGCAUGUGUCUCUCAGUCCUUCAACC
rnacentral:lncRNA from 1 species